GUGAAAUUAUACAUUUUAUUAAAUUAUUCAGUCAAUGCAUGUCACGGUACCAUUCUAAGACAAAUACACACAAAAGAAACGUUAAGGCACAACAGGAUGACAGUGUUUUCCACAUGUAUGAAUCCAUCCACCAGAGCAUUUCAGUGACUAAUAUUUGUAAAACGAGGUGCUCUGCUUUCCCCAUGCAUUAUGGACACUGUAGUCCUCAAAGGUUCUCUGUUCACUUUAUUAUAACGUCAGAGGAAUUCAGAGCUCAGUCUCUGUCACCAUAGUGAAAAGAGCUUGCGUUCCUCCAUCUCCUUUCCUGCAUGGCCACUGAUUUGAAAGGACUUGGUAGGCAAGACAAAUAGUACUGUGAAAAUCUAUGUAGGCCUAGUCCUUUCACCUAUCAGUGGUCAAGUCUGAGGACAUUAUUGAAGACAUGUUUCUGGGUAUUCGAACAUAUUGAUGGGCUGUUCUCCAGUUUUUAGCAACACCUCAUGUUGUAAUAAGAACACAGUAUGGUUCCUAAACAUUACUCAUUCUCUUGUGUUGUUUUUCAACUUCUUCAGGUCCUCUUUAAGUGUUUCUGAUUAAUCAAGUGGGAAAGUAAAUGCAGAUUUAGGCCUCAAGCAGGUCUCGUGUUAAAACCGGGGCAUUUAAAUUACCAGAGGUUUGGCACAUACUAAGGCACAUUAGUUUGAAGCAGUACGCAAAGAGUAAAAGGUAACAGGGGUGGGGAACCCGAAAAAUGACUUUAAACCAUUUAGAAUGUGUCCUUACUUUAAGGUAGAUGCACCAAUGGAGUAGCAGUCUCCUUCCACUGAGUGUCCUGAGAUCAGGCUUAUUUAUAAUGAUGAUACACAGCAAUUAUACUUAUCUAUAGUGUCAGUACAGUAAUCCUAAUUCUUGUUAUGAUCCUUCAUAUCAUUAUUCUGAUGUUGACUGAGCAACACCAAUAAAACCAGCAUUGAAACAAAUCUGUUGCAUGACCUGAGUUUGAGAUCUCUAUAUGCCAACACCCAUAAGAAACCUUUAACAUCCUCUCUGAGUCACUCUUUUCAAGACAUAGUAACACCAUUUUCUUUUGAAUUCAAUUUUGCAUCACAGUGGUUUAACUGUCAACUGAGGAUCUUAACAGUGUAGUCGAGUGUUUAACACAUGAGAAUGCGCGCAAAAUUUCUGUCAAAAGACUAAAUUCUCUUGAGAGGCUCAUGGAGUCACCACACUUUUAGCAGAGAAUCAUAAAUUACACUUAUCGAAAUGCUUCACAAUUUCAUCUGACAAAAAUCACAGUGACAGUGUUAAGGCGAGUUUGUGUGCAACCAACUGAGCACCAUUUUGAAAAACAAGCUCUGAGAUCAAACUCGGGUGUAAUAUCCUGUAGUGUGUUGAACAUAGCUUCACAACAAUGAUACGGUAGGCUAUACUCAUGUAAUGGCACUGGGUCAACCACUUUAAAAGACUCACCAACAACAAUGUGUAAAACCUAAUACGGUUAAAUUUCACUUUGAGUAAAAUAAAAGUAACAAAAGGUAGAGACUACAGGGAGAGUUGGGGUUGAGACUGCCAUAUUUAUACUUUGAGGAGUGCUUUCAUUCUAAUGAUCUCAACACACAAAGGACUGCAAAUGUUAUCCUUAUUGAGCUGUAGAACAGAACAGAACACAUGUCAAAACUCACUCAGCAUAGGGUUAAUGCUUGUGAUUGUGUUCUGGCCUUGAGGUCUUCAGUGACUGGACGUGGUGGGGAAGGGUGUAGGAGAUGCCAGGGGCUUGGAAUUGAAAGGCAUCCUUGGGGAAUGUUCAGACGUGUUUUACAAGCCUCCAUCAUCACCAUCGCCU
ensembl:lncRNA